CAGACGAGGAGCUUGCUCCUUUGACGUUAGCGGCGGACGGGUGAGUAACACGUAGGUCACCUACCUAUAAGACUGGGAUAACUUCGGGAAACCGGAGCUAAUACCGGAUAAUAUUUCGAACCGCAUGGUUCGAUAGUGAAAGAUGGCUUUGCUACCACUUAUAGAUGGACCUGCGCCGUAUUAGCUAGUUGGUAAGGUAACGGCUUACCAAGGCAACGAUACGUAGCCGACCUGAGAGGGUGAUCGGCCACACUGGAACUGAGACACGGUCCAGACUCCUACGGGAGGCAGCGGUAGGGAAUCUUCCGCAAUGGGCGAAAGCCUGACGGAGCAACGCCGCGUGAGUGAUGAAGGUCUUCGGAUCGUAAAACUCUGUUAUUAGGGAA
rnacentral:rRNA from 1 species